UACAGAGGUCUCAAGCGUUGUUCGGAUUCAUUGGGCGUAAAGGGUGCGUAGGUGGCGCCAUAAGUCGGGUGUGAAAUCUCGGGGCUUAACUCCGAAACUGCAUUCGAUAACUGUGGUGCUUGAGGACUGGAGAGGAGACUGGAAUUCAUGGUGUAGCAGUGAAAUGCGUAGAGAUCAUGAGGAGACCAGUGGCGAAGGCGGG
rnacentral:rRNA from 1 species